rnacentral:rRNA from 1 species
UACGUAGGGGGCAAGCGUUGUCCGGAAUUAUUGGGCGUAAAGCGCGCGCAGGCGGUUCUUUAAGUCUGGUGUUUAAGUGCGGGGCUCAACCCCGUGACGCACUGGAAACUGGGGAACUUGAGUGCAGAAGAGGAGAGCGGAAUUCCACGUGUAGCGGUGAAAUGCGUAGAGAUGUGGAGGAACACCAGUGGCGAAGGCGGCUCUCUGGACCGAUACUGACGCUGAGGAGCGAAAGCGUGGGGAGCGAACAGG